AUUGUUGAUCCUGGCUCAGAUUGAACGCUGGCGGCAUGCCUUACACAUGCAAGUCGAACGGCAGCACGGGGGCAAUCCCUGGUGGCGAGUGGCGAACGGGUGAGUAAUACAUCGGAACGUGUCCUGUAGUGGGGGAUAGCCCGGCGAAAGCCGGAUUAAUACCGCAUACGCUCUGUGGAGGAAAGGGGGGGAUCUUAGGACCUCUCGCUACAGGGGCGGCCGAUGGCAGAUUAGCUAGUUGGUGGGGUAAAGGCCUACCAAGGCGACGAUCUGUAGCUGGUCUGAGAGGACGACCAGCCACACUGGGACUGAGACACGGCCCAGACUCCUACGGGAGGCAGCAGUGGGGAAUUUUGGACAAUGGGGGCAACCCUGAUCCAGCAAUGCCGCGUGUGUGAAGAAGGCCUUCGGGUUGUAAAGCACUUUUGUCCGGAAAGAAAUCUUCUGCCCUAAUACGGCGGGAGGAUGACGGUACCGGAAGAAUAAGCACCGGGCUA
rnacentral:rRNA from 1 species